UGGUUAAUGUGAUGUCUCCUUGCUGC
rnacentral:piRNA from 1 species